UCUUCGUCGCUCCCUCCGAGGAUUACGGCGGCAUUUGAAACAUAUUUCAGCGCGGCGCGGCGGAGGAGCGAGGGCGGGAUUAAGGUGUUACCGUGGAGGGGUGGUGUUAACGCAGAGGGGCGGGGUGUUAAAAGACGGAGAAGCGGCGAUAUUGGCGGGGGUUAGCGGCGGAGGGCCGGGUGACGCUGCGGGGACGGAGGUACGACGGUGAACUGAGGAAGCUGCUCUCCAAACAGGAAACACCUGCAGCAGCUUCACCUGAGAGCGCUCGACCAGGACUGAACCAAACUGGUGGACGUCCUGACCGGAGUCGGCGUCAUGGACCUGCUGAAUGAGCUCAUCAAUGUCCUGACGAUCAGAAACACACAGAGCUGAUCAGAUCAUUGAUCAGAGAUUAAACUGUCAACAUUAACAUGGUUCUACUGGAUCUGCUGCUUGAUUUCCAUGAUUCUAAAGGUUUUACACUCUCCUGUCCAAUUUCCAUAAUGUUAAAGGUUCUAUAGAAUCUCAUUUCAGUAUUUAAAUCAUGUCAAAAGACCGACAUGAUCUCCUGUUCUUCUCCGAUUGUGUUAAAGGUUCCACAUAAUCUUCUGUCCUGUUUCCAUCACGUUUAUGGUUCUGAAGGAUCUCUUGUUUGUGUUUUCAUCAUGUUUAAAGUUCUACUGGAUAUUCUUACUACUACUAGUAGACCAACAACUACCUACAAUGUCAUCUGUACCUACCUACACCUUUACAGGUAACUACUAACAGGCCUUCAGAUUUCUGCUUUAUUUAAGUUUAGUUGAGUUUAAUCAGCAGAGUUUAACAUUCAUAGAUUAUCAUUCACUCAUCAUCAGAGUCUAAAUGUAGUUUUAGCAUCAGUCAGUUGUAAUGAGCAGCUCAGUGUUCAAUCACAACAAACUCCAUGUUUGUGUUUCUGUAGAUUGAUUAGUUUCCUGCUGCUCUGUACUUUUACUCUAUUAAAGCUGUCUCUGCUCUCA